rnacentral:rRNA from 1 species
UACGUAGGGUGCGAGCGUUGCCCGGAUUUAUUGGGCGUAAAGGGCGCGCAGGCGGCUACGCACGUCCGUUGUGAAAUCGCCCGGCUCAACUGGGCGGGGUCAGCGGAUACGGCGUAGCUGGAGCAAGCUAGGGGGCAAUGGAAUUCCCGGUGUAGUGGUGGAAUGCGUAGAUAUCGGGAGGAACACCAGUGGCGAAGGCGACUUCCUGGCCUGUUCUUGACGCUGAGGCGCGAAAGCUAGGGGAGCAAACGGG